UACAGAGGUCUCAAGCGUUGUUCGGAUUCAUUGGGCGUAAAGGGCGCGUAGGCGGCGGGGUAAGUCGGGUGUGAAGUCUCAGAGCUCAACUCUGAAAUGGCACUUGAUACUGCUCUGCUAGAGGACUGGAGAGGAGAUUGGAAUUCACGGUGUAGCAGUGAAAUGCGUAGAUAUCGUGAGGAAGACCGGUGGCGAAGGCGGAUCUCUGGACAGUUCCUGACGCUGAGGCGCGAAGGCCAGGGGAGCAAACGGG
rnacentral:rRNA from 1 species